CUUCGGCAACAUUCGGGCACGGUCGGUCCUCACGAUUCGUAAUACGCCGUCAGUCGGCACUUGACAGCGAGCGUGAAUGGUUGUUUAUCGCAGGUACACGCGAAAGGUGCCCUGGAGAGCGUUGUGCGCGUCGAUAAUCGAAAAAUGGCGUAAUAAAAUCUAACGCGCAUCUCUCGUCGCGUGUUUGACGAACGGUGAUCUCGUAAGAUUCCGCGGCGUCGUUCUCUCGCGUAGACAAUCGACCGAAGUGCGCCAUGAUCGUGUUGGGCCGACGAACCCGGCAACGUCGUUGAGUGAAAUUUAUAGUGUGCAUUUCGAGUGUGCUUUAGUGAAUCGCGCGCGUCGAGAUAAGAAAUCCCCGCCGGUUGAUGUCGUCAUCGUUAUCGUCAUCGUCGUCCUUGUCAUCGUCGUUGUUAUCGUACGUCUGCCAGUGACGACGCUGACGCGAACGACCUGAACGUCGCGACGCGACACAUCGUGACGUUACGUGACGCGUGACACGCGGGUCACACAAGUACGUGCGUCUUAAUCGCGACGUGUAUGAACCCCGAAAAAGCAGGCAAGGAAUGGCCCGUGCGUCCGCGACCAGGAUUCGGUGAUCCUGCCCAUUCGUGACAACUUAACGACUCGCUCAAAUCCGGGCGAGACCAAGAUGGCGCCACCGGCGUUUUGACACUUGCCGAAGGACGAUCCGUCAGCUGGACUUCGCCGUCGCCAGCAGGCGAUCCGUCUAUUAUGAGCAGAGAAUUCUACGUACCCUGCACACCUUAUACUUAUCAACAGUGCGGCAGCGGCAGCAGCGGGGGUGGUGGUUCGACGGAGGGUGUCGUGGUGAGCGUCGGUGCCGGUAACGGCGUCGGCAGCAAUAGCGGCGUCGGUGGCAUGGAUUGCAUGCCCCUGCGUCCCGGUCCGUUCCAUUACUUGAUCAACGAGCAAGCCAAGUCUUUGGUGGCCCUGCAGGAAUUGCAGAAUGAAGUCGGUGCCCUGCUCGAGUUCCGGGACCUCGUCAUCGAGACGUUCCCAAACCUCCGGCACAAGAUGGCCGCGACGGCGUCCGCGGGUGCGUCCGUGAUGUCGUCCACGUGCACCCAGAGCUCGCACAUUCCUCUGCCGCUGUCGAGUCCAUCCUCGCGAAGGAUCGGCGAAUGGGAACCCGGCAAGAUAAGACGGCGAGUGACGCGCGAGGCUGGCAGCAACGGAAGCGGCGGCGGCGGCGGCAGUGGAGGAGGAGGCGAAUCCUCCUCAUCGCUGCCUAGGAGUCGCAGCAACUCGCACAGCGGCGGUACCAAGAACAACUGUAGCGCGACUGUUCAAGAUUCCGGCUUCAGCACGGAGACCUCGUCGAAAGACAGUGCCUCAACGGCGAUCGCACCGCGGGCGAGCAGUCCCCGACCAAGUCCGUUGGACGAGGCGGAGGACGAACUCUGGAAUCUACUAGAUGUAAUCCAUCGCAAGGGGAUCCGGCUGCGGGAAGAGGUCGAGUGCCUUCAAGGUCGUCUGGAAAGUGUGGCGACGGAGGAACUGGCGUCAACGGACGUACUUGAGGCCGUGAGAAAUAUCACUGGACUCGACGCCGAUAGAACAAUCGUUCGCGAUAACAAUAUCAUUGUCGAUGAGCAACAGCAGCAAGAUAGCAGAGAUCCCCAGGUGAUAGCGCUCAGGCGGGAAAAAGAACAAUUGUUGGACAAGGUAGCCGAACUCGAAGCAGAGACGAUAUCGAGUCGCGUCAGAGCUCAGGAACUGCAAGCGGAAUUAGCCGAUUUGUCAGCAUUGAAAACUGGACUGGAGGAUCGGCUGCGACUAAUUGAAAAUACUUCGGAGAUCUUGGUGCCGGGUGUUCAGAGACUGCAACCGAUCGUGCCGGUGAUUUCUUCGCCGAAGAAUGCCAACGUUAAUAUCAAAAGCAAAAGCUCGGCAUUUGCGUCGGUCACUGGUAGUCCUGGAAGCAAAGCUUAUAAGAGUCGCUUCCGCACGAGGACUAUUGAGAAGAAUGUGCUACUAGACGUUGUCGGGUGCAACGAUGAGCCGCGCAAUAUCGAGAUCGAUAUUGAAGCUAACGUGAAUGAGAGGCGUGCCAGGUUGGGAGCGCUGGAUUCCAUCCUAGUAUCACCCACCAGGGUGGCUCACGUGAAGGAUGUAGAUUCAAAAAAAAUCGCGGCCAUUCUUCGUGAGCAUUCGCCUCUCGAGCUUCAGCGGCAUCUAAUUACUACUACCGUCCAUAAUCAGGUCUUACAAAAAAGAUUAGACGAAGUGGAGAAAAGUACGGAAACGCUCUCCGAACGAUUAGACAAAGCGCGCGAGGAAAACGACGAUUUACGGUUUCAGUUGGAAGAACGAAACAUCGAACUAGAAGGCACGCGGGCACGAGUCCGCGUGUUGGAACGCCUUCAGCAACGACCACCGACGGAAGUCGAGCCCGAAGCGGAUCUGGAACAACCCAGGUGCGAGCAGAGCGGCGUCGAACCUGGCAGCAGUACAGAAUCCGCGCGAGACCAUCAUCAGCCGGUAGAGAUCAAACCGUCGCCACGACGGCGUCCUAGUCGUAUACCUUUACCUGGCAGCGCGAGUGGCAAGACAACGUCGACGACGCCUACGACGAGCGCGACUACAAUCGCGCCACCGCGACCUAGUCACGGCAGGAACGACAGCAGGGAAUCGCUCAAAUCGCUGACGAGACCGCCGCGUGAUUCUAGUCGCGACAGCCACAGCGGCGGCAAAUCGUUAUCGAAAGCGCGCGACUCUAGUCGGGAUUCGCUCGGCAAUAGAAGUCUGUCCAAGAACGGCGGCAACGGAAGCAGCGGCAGUAAUGGUGGCGGCGGCAGCGGCGGCGGCGGCGGCAAUAAGGAAGCUAAUCGGGAGUCAUCCCUGAACAACCGAUCCCUGCCUCGUAACAAUUCCAGUCGAGAUUCCCUAAAUAAAUCUUCCUCGCUAUCCCGUGCUCGUGACUCAUUGGAAUCUAACAACCUCGGAACAUCCUCACCUACGACUAACGUCCCUCCCCGACGACCGCCCGCUCCCGCGCGCCGUUCCCACAGCCUGGCGCGCGCGGCGACGUCUGUCGAUGCGUCUGAGAACGGCAAGGUACGACCUGUAAAACAAUUCUUUUGGAGCAGCUGGCUGAAGUCACCGUUGUCCAACGGCCCGGUAUAGUACCCUCCCGGUAUAGUAACCUCCCGGCAAGCCUUCUCUUCCUAUGAACGACAGGCCAUAGUUGCUCUUUCUCUUUCCCCCUCUUAGACAUAAACACGGUCUCUAACAGUUUCCUUCGAAAACCAUUGUCUUGCCUUUGUAGCAAGAUCUAAAAACCGUUAUUCCUUUCUGAUAGAAUUCCAUCUCUCUCGGUCUGGAUUUUAAGUUCAUCAAAGUUUGGCUAGACUAAACGGCACAGACUAAACGGCGUACCUCUCAUUGACUAUCUAUUUUCUACUCUGUCAUCAUUUCUACUAAACGAUAAAUCCCUUUCAUCACAUUCUUUUUUUGUCUUACUUCAGUACUUUUCGCCAUUAUGACGAUCAUUGUUACUGUCAUUAUUGUUACGUCACAUCGUGUAAAACAAUCGUCACUACAAUAACUAUGAUUUUAUCAACCGGUGAUACUGAGAAAAUACAUGCUUUUACCGAGGAUAUAUCUGAUCCGAUUUCCUACAAUAAUAUAGACAUACGUAUGCAACAUUGUCAUUUUUCCCACGGCGUCUUUUUUCACUACAUCCUUGUUCUAUUCUCCUAACUCUACCAUGGACUUCGAGAUACGGUACCGCCAAUAUACGAUCAUACAAGAACGGAAUUUUUCUGUUUUCGCUGAGAACCUGCCACUAUCUUUGCCUAGUAAACCAAUGUUCCUGAAAAACACAUCUCUAACAAUACGUGCAGAGACUCGAGCGAGCGAAUCGACCGAGAUUCUUGUAUUAAAACCAUCAAUUGCCCGCCCGACCGUCCACCAUACCAAAAUCAGUCUGACCUGGAGGGCAGGCGAGCGUGCGUUCGAGCCCGUCCCCGGCGGUCCAAUAAAGAAAGAAAAUGGCCCCUUCUCGCGUGCCACCGGUUUUUUCUCAGCUGCACCGAACCACCAAGUUCCUGGUGCUCGACCAACAGCAGUUUCCGGCACAGUGAUUCAUCGCUCUAUCCGGACUCGCUGAAUCAAGAGACAUCAUCAGUCACCGGUUCCACGCGAGUGGAAUUCAUAAUCGGUUCACCCACCAGACGCUUCCGUACAAGCGCCGCGUGGCCUCAU